UACGGUAGGGUGCAAGCGUUAAUCGGAAUUACUGGGCGUAAAGCGUGCGCAGGCGGUUGUGCAAGACAGAUGUGAAAGCCCCGGGCUCAACCUGGGAAUGGCCGUUGAAACUGGCGAACUGGAGUGUGGCAGAGGGGGUGGAAUUCCGCGUGUAGCAGUGAAAUGCGUAGAGAUGCGGAGGAACACCGAUGGCGAAGGCAGCCCCCUGGGCUAACACUGACGCUCAGGCACGAAAGCGUGGGGAGCAAACAGG
rnacentral:rRNA from 1 species